UCAGUCAAUCCAUUGCAAAAAUUAAUAAUAUCAUUUCCAAAAGAAUAUUAUACACUAAAAUUAGCGUAGAAAAUACAAAAAAAAACCUCAAAAGAUAUAUAAUCCAUAUUCGCAAGUAUUUAGAGACCAACAUAUGAAAGUGAUGGGUAAAAAAUUUAAGUAUUAUCCCCAUAUUACACCGAACAUGCAGUCCAUAGCCACAAAUGGAGUGCUCCAUUAUCCAUGAUUCAGCCAAUAAAACGAUAUUGAUAAUUCAUGUAACUAAUUCAACUUAACGUAUGUUACUUCACUUGUUCAUAGGAGCAAGAUUUUCUGUGCAUACUUCAUGAACUAUGUAGUUGAUUAUGCCAAAAAUGUAAAACUCUCACGCUUGAGGUCAAUAGGGUUGAUCAAAUGUACAAUUCUUUCUUGAAACUACAAUGAGGAGGUUAAGAAUUAGAACAAAUUAUAUGAAAUCCAAAAGGAUUUUAAAAUAUUAAGUUUCAUAAUGUAUGACAAUAAGAUUAUGCCUAAAAUAUACCAUAAUAGAAUUUAUAAUAAAGAAUAAUUAUAAAACACGUACUUCUCUGAUCAAUUUGAAUCCUGCCCAACAGAAGGGUCACGUGUUUAGAAAUUAGAGCAAAUUAAUUAUUACUUUUAAAGUCUGCUUUUAAUAUUGAGAGCAAGCAAAUUGUAAGCAAUAAAACCUCAAUGUGGUCUAUAAUAAAAAAACUACAGAUAAAGUUUGUACAAAUGAAUAAUAAAAGCUUAGAGAAUCCUCCUGUAGUCUAUAAUAAAACCUCAAUGUGGGCCUAUAAUAAAAACUCAAUAAUAUAUAGGUACCUUUAUACAGAUACUGUUAUUAGCUUUUAUGUAAUACCCACCUCAUCUCAUAUGCUUCAAUUAUAGCUCAUCAGAUCUCACAACUAAAUCAGAAAACUUAUCAUACAACCAGAAAAAGUAACUUAAACAUUAAUUUACCUUUUGCUUAUAGGCCCUCAAGAGUUCCAAGGGUACAACUAUACAUGAACGGUACAGCUAUACAUGAACUUAAGCUAAACUGAUCAUGCAUGUCUUUGUAUGCAAAUAUAGUUAUGGACUAUGUAACGCCCCAGAACUUCCUUUACCAAUAGACAUUACUCAAGAAAAUUCACUCCCAUUCUGUUGGCUUCCUCAUCAGAUUUUAAUAGAUCACCUAAUUUAGAAACGCCGACAAGAACUAUUAUUAAAGAAGUGGUGCAAGUCGUGCAACUUGUGGAAAUUGAGAAUAUUAUUUUUCUACUUUUAAGUUGUAACAAGGUAUGUAGCAUGUAUGCAGUAAUGCUAUACAAUAGUUGUCUUGGCUAAUGCCUCUCUAUUUCUUCAAAACAUUAUCUGGGACAAAAGAUAUUUCAUAUCUCAGCUAGCAUAUUAUUCUUAAUAUAUCAUUUUGGCAUUUUCACAAAUACCUUACAUGCAUACAUUGAAAAUUUUCAUAUUUCAUGAAAUCAAUGUAUAUAUAAACAUCCUCCAUAACCAAUUCACCUCAUUUCUUCUGAACCCUUCAUGGUUCCUCAUCAAUUAAAUUUUCCCACAACCAAUUUCAGUCACAAUUCAUAUAUUAAUUAACUGGAAAAUUGAAACAAAACUAAUUCCUUGAAUAAAAAUACUUCUAAACUUUAAUUGAAGUUUAAAUGACUUACAUCUUGAUUAAAGCUUAAAUUAAGCUUUCUCCUUGGUGUAAUCUGCUCACAAUCUUCUUCAAAUCAAAUUUUGAAUCAAUAAUUUCUACUAUUUUUCUAACUUUGAAUAUGGGAUUUUGUGUGCAGCAAUUACGCAUCCGUGAACUCCUCUACUUGCUAAUUACUUUCAAUUUUAUGAAACUUAUGGCAACUAGGAAAGGAAGGCAUGAAGGAGAAGGAACGGAUGGUAGGUCAGGGGGAGAAUUUUUUUUCUUUAGGACAGAUAAAAGAGAGCAGGGUAGAGAAUGAAUAAGGUUUACGAAGCAUUUCCUUUAUAUUCCAGAUAAUUACUUGGUGUCUAUUAUUAUGCUAAUUGUUCAACACAUCCUGCUUAAUAACAUGACACAUCCUUUAAUAUACAGC
rnacentral:lncRNA from 1 species